GACAGAGGCCCCAAGCGUUAGGCGGAAUCACUGGGCUUAAAGCGUGUGUAGGCGGAUCGUUAAGUGUCUUGUGAAAUCCCACGGCUCACCCGUGGAACUGCUGGGCAUACUGGCGAUCUUGGGCCAACUAGGGGCAGCCGGAACAAGCGGUGGAGCGGUGAAAUGCGUAGAUAUCGCUUGGAGCGCCGAAGGUGAAAACAGGCUGCUGGGGUUGUGCCGACGCUGAGACACGAAAGCCAGGGGAGCAAACGGG
rnacentral:rRNA from 1 species